rnacentral:rRNA from 1 species
UACGAAGGGGGCGAGCGUUAUUCGGAAUCACUGGGCGUAAAGCGUGCGUAGGCGGUCUUGAAAGUUGGGAGUGAAAGCCCAGGGCUCAACCCUGGAAUUGCUUUCAAAACUACAAGACUUGAAUCUCGGAGAGGAUAGCGGAAUUGUCAGUGUAGCAGUGAAAUGCGUAGAUAUUGACAGGAACACCAGUGGCGUAAGCGGCUAUCUGGACGAGUAUUGACGCUGAGGCACGAAAGCGUGGGGAUCAAACAGG